GACGAACGCUGGCGGCGUGCUUAACACAUGCAAGUCGAACGGAAAGGCCCUGCUUUUGUGGGGUGCUCGAGUGGCGAACGGGUGAGUAACACGUGAGUAACCUGCCCUUGACUUUGGGAUAACUUCAGGAAACUGGGGCUAAUACCGGAUAGGAGCUCCUGCUGCAUGGUGGGGGUUGGAAAGUUUCGGCGGUUGGGGAUGGACUCGCGGCUUAUCAACUUGUUGGUGGGGUAGUGGCUUACCAAGGCUUUGACGGGUAGCCGGCCUGAGAGGGUGACCGGCCACAUUGGGACUGAGAUACGGCCCAGACUCCUACGGGAGGCAGCAGUGGGGAAUAUUGCACAAUGGGCGGAAGCCUGAUGCAGCAACGCCGCGUGCGGGAUGACGGCCUUCGGGUUGUAAACCGCUUUCGCCUGUGACGAAGCGUGAGUGACGGUAAUGGGUAAAGAAGCACCGGCUAACUACGUGCCAGCAGCCGCGGUGAUACGUAGGGUGCGAGCGUUGUCCGGAUUUAUUGGGCGUAAAGGGCUCGUAGGUGGUUGAUCGCGUCGGAAGUGUAAUCUUGGGGCUUAACCCUGAGCGUGCUUUCGAUACGGGUUGACUUGAGGAAGGUAGGGGAGAAUGGAAUUCCUGGUGGAGCGGUGGAAUGCGCAGAUAUCAGGAGGAACACCAGUGGCGAAGGCGGUUCUCUGGGCCUUUCCUGACGCUGAGGAGCGAAAGCGUGGGGAGCGAACAGGCUUAGAUACCCUGGUAGUCCACGCUGUAAACGGUGGGUACUAGGUGUGGGGUCCAUUCCACGGGUUCCGUGCCGUAGCUAACGCUUUAAGUACCCCGCCUGGGGAGUACGGCCGCAAGGCUAAAACUCAAAGGAAUUGACGGGGCCCCGCACAAGCGGCGGAGCAUGCGGAUUAAUUCGAUGCAACGCGUAGAACCUUACCUGGGUUUGACAUGGAUCGGGAGUGCUCAGAGAUGGGUGUGCCUCUUUUGGGGUCGGUUCACAGGUGGUGCAUGGCUGUCGUCAGCUCGUGUCGUGAGAUGUUGGGUUAAGUCCCGCAACGAGCGCAACCCUUGUUCACUGUUGCCAGCACGUUAUGGUGGGGACUCAGUGGAGACCGCCGGGGUCAACUCGGAGGAAGGUGGGGAUGACGUCAAGUCAUCAUGCCCCUUAUGUCUAGGGCUUCACGCAUGCUACAAUGGCUGGUACAGAGAGUGGCGAGCCUGUGAGGGUGAGCGAAUCUCGGAAAGCCGGUCUCAGUUCGGAUUGGGGUCUGCAACUCGACCUCAUGAAGUCGGAGUCGCUAGUAAUCGCAGAUCAGCAACGCUGCGGUGAAUACGUUCCCGGG
rnacentral:rRNA from 1 species